rnacentral:rRNA from 1 species
CGGCGUAAAGGGUGGUUAUGGGAUCCCUUCACUAAAGUCGAAAACCCCUUCAACUGUUAUACGUUUUUUGGAGCCCUAAUUUCUACUACGAAAGUGACUUUAUUUUUGUUUACCAGAACCCACGACAGCUAAGACACAAACUGGGAUUAGAUACCCCACUAUGCUUAGCCGUAAACCUAGAUAUCUUAAUACAACAGAUAUCCGCCAGGGAACUACGAGCAUUAGCUUAAAACCCAAAGGACUUGGCGGUGCCUCAGACCCCCCUAGAGGAGCCUGUUCUAGAACCGAUAACCCCCGUUCAACCUCACCACUCCUUGCCCCUUCCGCCUAUAUACCACCGUCGCCAGCUUACUCUGUGAAGAACAGUAAGCAAAAUGGGAGAGCCCCAAAACGUCAGGUCGAGGUGUAGCAAACGGAGUGGGAAGAAAUGGGCUACAUUGCCUGUGUCAGGCUAUUCACGGAGAGUUGUCUGAAACAACAACUUAAAGGUGGAUUUAGCAGUAAGGAGGGAAUAGAGUGCCCUCUUGAAGCCGGCUCUGAGGCGCGCACACACCGCCCGUCACUCUCCCCAACCACCAGAUACCCACGUAAAUAACGCCAUAAAACAAAAUA